rnacentral:rRNA from 1 species
AUUGAACGCUGGCGGCAGGCCUAACACAUGCAAGUCGAGCGAGCGGCGGACGGGUGAGUAAUGUAUGGGGACUGCCCGAUAGAGGGGGAUAACUACUGGAAACGGUGGCUAAUACCGCAUACUAUCGGAUAACCCAUAUGGGAUUAGCUAGUCGGUGGGGUAAAGGCUCACCUAGGCGACGAUCUCUAGCUGGUCUGAGCGGAUGAUCAGCAAAAAUGGGACUGGGACAGGGCCAAGACUCCAAGGGAGGCAGCAGUGGGGAAUAUUGAACAGUGGGCGAAAGCCUGAUGAAGCCAUGCCGAGUGUAGGAAGAAGGCCUUAGGGUUGUAAAGUACUUUCAGCGGGGAGGCGUUAACCGCAGAAGAAGAACCGGCUAAGUCCGUGCCAGCAGCCGCGGUAAUUC